UACGUAGGGUGCAAGCGUUAAUCGGAAUUACUGGGCGUAAAGCGUGCGCAGGCGGUGAUGUAAGACAGUUGUGAAAUCCCCGGGCUCAACCUGGGAACUGCAUCUGUGACUGCAUCGCUGGAGUGCGGCAGAGGGGGAUGGAAUUCCGCGUGUAGCAGUGAAAUGCGUAGAUAUGCGGAGGAACACCGAUGGCGAAGGCAAUCCCCUGGGCCUGCACUGACGCUCAUGCACGAAAGCGUGGGGAGCAAACACGG
rnacentral:rRNA from 1 species